rnacentral:lncRNA from 1 species
UGACUCUGCCGCUCCCUUAUCUGGGACACUGAUUGGUAAUAGUACUUGUAGAAAUUUUUUCAGUGUGGCCUUCCACAAGCCCAUCCGCCCCAGAAUCAUCAGAGACCUAGAUAAACACAUAUUCUUGGGCCCUAACUCAGAUUAUUAACCAGUAUCCCAGGUGAUUUUCACGCUCUCUAAAACUGAAGAGUUGCGGGGUUAGUGUGUAGAUUAACAUUAACAACCAAAGCAUUUAAGGUUCUGGUAAACUGAGCCAACUCUGAACCUGACGUUAACGGGGGAAACCGUGAAUUCUAAAGGCAAUGUUGCCAAGGUUUUCGUUGUAAGGAAGGAGGAGGAAUCUCGUUAGGACUGCUCUGGGACCCCAGAGGACCGCAGACUGGAAUGUUGGUGGUGGUCUUUAGUACUUGCAGCCUGGAGGACUGCACAAGACUGUGCUCCAGAGACCCUACACAGCGAUGUCUCAGACGAUCUAGCGAAGGCCACUGCAGGAAAAUGGUUGUCUGUUUUGUCUCCCUGCAUUACAAUCAAGAAAUCGUAUCCAAGCAGAGCCACGAGAGCUAAAAUCUUCGUGAGAAAACAGUUUACUAUGUGAGUUUUACCUCCCGAGGAAACUCCCAAGAAUGCUGGAGGUUACUGAGCCAAAGGGAUCAAACUUCCUACUUUCACCUGUAAGAAAUAAGCACGGAAUGAUUUCUUCAGCAGCCAAGGACCGCUUACUGAUCUUUCAGUUGGAUCUGUGUGGCGUUGUUGGCCAUACUAAAAUCAGAUGCUAUCUUUGCUGAGGUUCAUUUAAGCGGAAUUAUCUCAGGGGAAAGUGGGUAAGAGGAAAGAGGAAGAACUCACGUGCUCUCUUUGGAGAUGGGUCAUGCUAGCCCUGCUCCUGACCCCGCUGCCGAUCCCGCCAUCGCUGCAGGCAGAGAGCUAGCCCGCGGUACAGUCUGUCCUGGCUUGCCUCCUUGAGAUGAGCAGCAGUUCACCGGCAUCAUCAAAUUGAGUUGCCCUUUAUCUGCAGAUCUUAGCCUAGAUCUAAGGCCUGAGGAAUUUCUCUCCACUUCUAUUUCCAAAAUUCUGAUUUUUUCCUUUCAUGAUGUAAUAUGACUUACCCCCAGAGUUCUCCCAAAUUAGCCACUAAAUAAAAC